rnacentral:rRNA from 1 species
GACUCCGGCUUGUUAACUAGUUUCGCGGCCCCGUGUGGUCGGCGACUAACUUCUUAGAGGGACAAGUGGCGUUCAGCCACACGAGAAGGAGCAAUAACAGGUCUGUGAUGCCCUUAGAUGUCCGGGGCUGCACGCGCGCCACACUGAGCGGAUCAGCGUGCGUCUACCCUUCGCCGAGAGGCGCGGGUAACCCGCUGAGCCCCGCUCGUGAUGGGGAUUGGGGAUUGAAAUUAUUCCCCAUGAACGAGGAAUUCCCAGUAAGCGCGAGUCACCAGCUCGCGUUGAUUAAGUCCCUGCCCUUUGUA